UACAGGGGGCGCGAGCGUUAAUCGGAGUGACUGGGCGUAAAGGGCGCGUAGGCGGACGAGUCAGUCGGAUGUAAAAAGCCUGGGCUUAACCUGGGCCGUGCAUUCGAUACUGCUCGACUAGAGUCGUGUAGAGGGUGGUGGAAUUUCCGGAGUAGCGGUGAAAUGCGUAGAUACCGGGAGGAACAUCGAUGGCGAAGGCAACUGCCUGGACACAGACUGACGCUGAGGCGCGACAGCGUCGGGAGCAAACAGG
rnacentral:rRNA from 1 species